CCAUGAGUAAAGUGGCGUACGGGUGAGUAACACGUGGAUCAUCUACCUCUUAGUGGGGAAUAACUCUGGGAAACCGGAGCUAAUACCGCAUAAGCCUGGAAAGGGAAAGUCGGAAGACGCUGAGAGAGGAGUCCGCGGCCGAUUAGCUAGUUGGCAGGGUAAAAGCCUACCAAGGCAUUGAUCGGUAGCCGGCCUGAGAGGGCACACGGCCACACUGGCACUGAAACACGGGCCAG
rnacentral:rRNA from 1 species